rnacentral:rRNA from 1 species
ACAAGCCUACGGGAGGCAGCAGUAGGGAAUCUUCCACAAUGGACGAAAGUCUGAUGGAGCAACGCCGCGUGAGUGAAGAAGGGUUUCGGCUCGUAAAACUCUGUUGGUAGUGAAGAAAGAUAGAGGUAGUAACUGGCCUUUAUUUGACGGUAAUUACUUAGAAAGUCACGGCUAACUACGUGCCAGCAGCCGCGGUAAUACGUAGGUGGCAAGCGUUGUCCGGAUUUAUUGGGCGUAAAGCGAGUGCAGGCGGUUCAAUAAGGCUGA